rnacentral:lncRNA from 1 species
UUGAUCCUUUCCCCUACACACCAAACUCCUUUUAUUAUUGAGAAAAGAUUUAUUGUGUUGUUGAAUCCUCGUGGUUGUUCUUGUUGAAGUUUGUGGUUGUGUUGGUUGAAGUUUGUGGUUGUGUUGUUGAAGUUUCUUGUUGGUUUGGUGCAUGUUCCCGGAUGGAAUUAUGAGUUGAAUCUAGUGUAUAUUGAGGGUUUUUAAUGAUUCUAAGUGAUUGGGGAAGAAACC